rnacentral:tRNA from 1 species
GAGGGUAUAGCUCAGUUGGUUUAGAGCGCUGCCUUGACAGGGCAGAGGUCCACAGUUCGAGUCUGUGUAUCCUCA